GACGAACGCUGGCGGCGUGCUUAACACAUGCAAGUCGAACGGAAAGGCCCCUUUGGGGGUACUCGAGUGGCGGACGGGUGAGUAACACGUGAGUAACCUGCCCUUGACUUCGGGAUAACUUCAGGAAACUGGGGCUAAUACCGGAUAGGAAUCCUUGCUGCAUGGUGGGGGUUGGAAAGCUUCGGCGGUUUUGGAUGGGCUCGCGGCUUAUCGGCUUGUUGGUGGGGUAGUGGCUUACCAAGGCUUUGACGGGUAGCCGGCCUGAGAGGGCGACCGGCCACAUUGGGACUGAGGUACGGCCCAGACUCCUACGGGAGGCAGCAGUGGGGAAUAUUGCACAAUGGGCGGAAGCCUGAUGCAGCAACGCCGCGUGCGGGAGGACGGCCUUCGGGUUGUAAACCGCUUUCAGCAGGGGCGAAGCUUGUGGUGACGGUACCUGCAGAAGAAGCACCGGCUAACUACGUG
rnacentral:rRNA from 1 species